rnacentral:lncRNA from 10 species
GCGCGCCCCUUCCCGGACAGUUCCUCUCGGCGCCCCCGAGUCCUCCCCGCGCGCCGCUUCCCGGGUGGGCCCUUCCACCAGAACCCCCUGGUAGAUCCUCCCCUGGUGCCCUGGGGGUAGAGGGGAGAUCCUCCACAAGGGCCAUUUCCCUGGUGAUCCCUCCCUGUGCCCCACAGGUGAGUCCUGCCGUAGCUCUCCAGGGGUUCCUCCUGAUGCUGGGGUCCUCCGGCAUUCCUCCCUGAGCCCCCCAAGGGCCCUGAAGCUCAGCGGCCCAGCCCUGGCCUCGGGGUCCCCACCCCACACCUCCCUUCCAGGCCUAACCUUUGCCCCCGACACCAGGCAGGGCGUGUCCUUGGCCUUCGCCGCCCAGCCCGCGUGGCAUCUCUGGACAGGUGGUCGUGCGCGCCUUGGUGUGGGCAGGCUCCGUAGCCGGCAAAGCCUCCCUGAACCGUGACCUGGUGAGAAGGCCGCAGAGGAGGUGCCUGUGCCCAGAGGCCACCUCCAAAGACCCCACCUGAGGCUGGAACCCAGCGCCUGCUGACCCCGCCAGCCCCAACAGGGCUGGAGUCCAGGAGCGGCCGUGCUCUUUCCGCAGUGAGGCAGCUGCCUUCUCUUCCCACCACCUGUCAGGAUGCCUUCCCGUGUGUGCUUGUGCACAGGUCUAAGGAGAGGAGAGUCCAGUGAGUGACCCAGACGCCCCAGCCAGGAAGAGCAUGAGGACAUGGAGCGGAGCGUUCAGGGCUAUCAGGAGGGAGCCCCGUGGCCACGGUGCAAGAUCUAGGCAGGCGGGACAGACAUGGUCAGGAUGCUGGGGACACAGCAUGGGGAAUCCAGCACACAGGACACCAUCCAGGAAAGCAAAGCUGCAGCCUGAGAUCUCCUUCCACCAACUCCUGGCAUGGCCAGAAAGUUAGCCAGAAACACCAGAAAGUGCCAGGCAGCUAGGAAGCAUGGGGAGAGCCCCCUGAAGCUGCGUGUGUAGUGCCUGCUUCCGCUGCCAUCCCAGAAAUGGACGAGCUUCACCCUGAGAACCCAGCCACACCACUGGGACACAUCCUGACAGUGACAUGCACACUCUUCCCUGGCCCCAGCCUGGAGAGGAGCCUCCUGAAGACACCAGCCUUUGCUCCUUCUCCCAGUGGGAGUGGAGAGAACUGACUGCUGGAGUGGAGACAGUCAAGGCUGUCCUUCUGAGGGAGCACAGCACAGGGUCUGGUGUCCCAGGGAGGCAAUCUGAAAUUCAAGCCAGGCCUCCCCAGCGGAGAGGACACACCCCUCACCAUGCAGAGUGACGUUUAGUAAACUCUCAAAAGAGAGCACAGAGCCCCACUCCUCCAGCCGACCCAUACUCUGCCUCCCCACUCCAGACCAGUGAACAAGGUGGAUUGCCCUUAAGCCAGCUCAGAGGCAAAGUCCAAAGACCUCAGGUGAGUCAAACAAUAAAAACAAAGAAUUAAGAAGAAUCCAGCUGGGUGCGGUGGCUCACGCCUGUAAUCCCAGCACUUUGGGAGGCUGAGGCGGGAGGAUCACGAGCAGGAGGUCGAGACCAUCCUGGCUAACACGGUGAAACCCCGUCUCUACUAAAAAUAGAAAAAAUUAGCUGGGCGUGGUGGCGGGCGCCUGUAGUCCCAGCUACUCCGGAGGCUGAGGCAGAAGAAUGGCGUGAACCCAGGAAGCGGAGCUUGCAGUGAGCCGAGAUCAUGCCACUGCACUCCAGCCUGGGCGACAGAGCGAGACUCCGUCUCCAAAAAAAAAAAAAAAAAAAAAAUCCAUCCACUCCAUCCACUUAGUAGCAGAGCGAAUAGACAUUCAGGAAAGAGCUUUCACGUCAGAAAGCACUACAGAAGUAGUGGCAUAUCCCCGGAGGCUGAGGUGGGAGCAUUGCUGAGAGGUGGCACGUGACCACAUCCAUGUCAUUCAACAACAGAAAAACAAGUCAUCGAGGGUGUGAGGGGCCGGUGAGAAACCCAGUAUGGAAGAAAACACAACUGGGCUGAGCGUGGUGGCUCACGCCUGUAAUCCCAGCACUUUGGGAGGCCAAGGCAGGAGGAUCACCUGAGGUCAGGAGUUCGAGACCAGCCUGGUCAACAUAGUGAAACCUCAUCUCUACUAAAAAUACAAAAAAAUUAACUGGGUGUGGUAGCGCGUGCCUGUAGUCCCAGCUACUCCGGAGGCUGAGGCAGGAGAAUUGCAUGAACCCAGGAGCCGAGACCACACCACUGCACUCCAGCCUGGGGGCGGCACAGUGAGACUCCGUCUCAAAGAAACAAAAAUAAAAA